rnacentral:rRNA from 1 species
UACGAAGGGGGCGAGCGUUGUUCGGAUUUACUGGGCGUAAAGCGUGCGCAGGCGGUGAGUUAAGUCUGAUGUGAAAGCCCCGGGCUCAACCUGGGAAUGGCAUUGGAAACUGGCUCGCUGGAGUGUGGCAGAGGGGGGUGGAAUUCCGCGUGUAGCAGUGAAAUGCGUAGAGAUGCGGAGGAACACCGAUGGCGAAGGCAGCCCCCUGGGCCAACACUGACGCUCAGGCACGAAAGCGUGGGGAGCAAACAGG